AGCGCAUGGAGCAAACGGCAUGUUCCCGAGCGCCGAUGGAGUCAAUAAAUAAGCAAAGGCGAGAAGAGGAUCCCGCCGACAUGUGCCCAACCUAAGUAUCCGUGCGUGCUUUGCAGUGGUGGUCCUGUAGAGAGCGGUAUAGUUUUUAACACGAGCCUCCCUCAGCCCUUACUGUACAUAUGCGGAGGGAGGAGCGAGCGUGUAGUAUUUUUUUUGCCUGAUUCCCCCUGUCGUUGCAGCACAUCCAAAUGCUACCGAAGACAGGGGCAAAAAGGGGGACAAACUAUCGCUUUUAAGAGGUUUCUCGGACGCGUAGGGCUGCGGUUGGCACGUUUGGACACGGAGGUAAUCUGACGGUACGAGGCGCAGCGGCGGCUUCCUUGGCGGUAUAGGAGGGAUCGGACGCGCUUGCCUUGCUCGCCUGGUGUGGACCUAUAGCCAGCUACACUUGUGCACAACCCCGAGAGGAGAGGAGAGGAGGGGAGGGAAGAGUCGUGCUAACUUUCUCCCUGCUUUCCGCCUCAUAUCUCCGCUGUGAUAUCCCACACGGCCAGACUGGGUCCAGACCGCUAACCUACGCUCCGCCCCACGGCCUGUGUUUGGAUGAGUGCAAAUGUAAAGAAACAACACUGAACAGCGGAGGACCAGAAGACCACCAAGGGCGGAGACGAGGCAGGCCGACGACGCAACACAACGCAUGCAGUGUGGGCUGUGGAAAUCAUUAACCCAACAACAAGCGCACACAAUAUGACAG